AAAACAAUUUUAACAUAAAUAUAUACUUACAAGUAAACUUUUUGAUCUCAGCCUAAUAUAUCAAUUAGAUUAAUAUAACUCGAAUAUUUAUUCUUGUUUCUUCUAAGUUUCUCCUAAUCAAUUUUCAAAGGUAUGAUGUGAUUUUCGUUUUUCCUUGUGAACUGUCAUGAAAUGAUUCUGGAUAAUUGGGACCUUAAUUCAUUUUGUAUUCUUUGUUUUAGUUUCUUCGUCAUCAAUAAUUAUAUUUGUUAGGUUUUAUCAUUGGCGAUUCUGUGAACUAAAAGGACUAAAUUGAAUAUGUGUAAAAGUCAAGAAGUUGGUGCAAUUUUGUAUAGAUGGGUUAGGUAAGUUAGGGUUCGAGUUCGGAAGACAUUGCUCGCCAAAACAUUGCUUGAGCAACAAAAACAGAAUGAUCAUCGCUCGCGUGUUGCAGGACUUUGCUCGAGCGAAACAUCAUUGCUUGCUUCUCGUUGGAGGAUCGCCUGAGCAAUGGUGUUAUUCGGCCAACCCUAAUUCGUGACUUUGAAAAGUUUUACACAGCCUAUAAUACCUAAACAUCGCUAACUAUAAAUACCCAAGUCUUGCAUGAUUUUCUGUGGUAGUUGUUCAUUGUGGCUCUCUUGCAAAACAUAUUCAAAUCGUUCUUUAAAGAUCCAAGAGCCUGUUCCUACCUUCAUUCAAUACAUUUAUCCUUGAGAUUCUACAACUACAUACUUGGGAAAACAUCAAAUCCUUGAGUCCAAAACACUUAGCUUCUUUAACAUUGUAAGGGAGGUACAUUCUCAAUCGAAACUUCAGAGGCUACUGAAUAUUGAAGAAUGUUAGACUACAAGCACAAAAAAAGCAUAAGAAUUGAAGAUUCUUGGAACUCCACAUGGAAGAGAAAAUUGUACAAGAUCAGAAAGCUAGAGGAGACAACAGUAUCUUGAAGAUUACAGGAAGUCUAAUGGAAUUGGCUAGGCAGCAUCUAACUGUAAGACCCGUUGUCUAUAGUGGAUGUAAUGUAACGACCCAAAAUUUUUAAAGGUUUGAAUCGCUACCAAAAUUUUCAUUCAAAUUUUGGAAGCGUGGCAUGCAACAAAAUAUGUAAUUAUGAAAGGGUAAUUUACUUGAAUCCGUGGAAAAGAGAUAUAUAUUAAUUAAUAGAUAGGAAAGAAAGAAUAUUUUUCUAUGCCAUAACUUUAACGUGUACAUUUUAAAAAAAG
rnacentral:lncRNA from 1 species